rnacentral:lncRNA from 1 species
UUGGUACUUAGCGGGCUGAUAUGAAAAGUUUAUCACAUGCUUCGAUUGUUAUCACAUGCCUUUCCGUAACGUUAUCGCAUGGCUUUCCGGUGAUACUCGGCAAAUUCCGGAAAAUACACUUCAAUGCUACGUUUUCAGUGAAAAACAUUACAAAGUAUUAUUGUAUACAAACCAACUAUUUGGAUAUAUGGAUACUGGAAAGUAUAUUGUGUAAAAU